rnacentral:misc_RNA from 1 species
GAUGAAGAACGUAGCGAAAUGCGAUAAGUAAUGUGAAUUGCAGAAUUCAGUGAAUCAUCGAAUCUUUGAACGCACAUUGCGCCCUCCGGCAUUCCGGGGGGCAUGCCUGUCCGAGCGUCACGAAAACCCCAUCACACUCGUUGUGGUCAUGGCUGCAGUGAGUCGUCUCCAGCGGAGAGGGUCACGCCGCUGAAAGGAAUGGUGCGGAUGAGUUCCGAUGGCCGAACGUAGUACUUGACAACCGUCGGCCGAUGGGACCCUCCAUCUCGCCCUGACGAAGUACCCCCGUCGUACCCCCGAUCAGGUGGACCUCGGAUCAGGUAGGGAUACCCGCUGAACUUAAGCAUAUCAAUAAGCGGAGGA